UAUAUCAUAUUACACAUAUAAAAUAGAAGUCUGACUGCGAUACUAUCGAUAGUAUCAAAAGUUUGGUGUUUUCCACCGUUUAAUUAUUUUUACCCAUUAGAUUAUAUUAUUCAACCAACCAUCCACUCAACCCUAGAGGGCCCAUAUCAUUCUAACCGUACAUUUUUCAAUCCAAAGGCUAAAAAACUAAUAGCACCAAUAGUUUGGUGCUAUUGAUAGUAUUCUAGCCUAAUUCUAUAAAAUAGUGCAAAAUUCAAAAAGAUUUUUUUUUUUUUUAAGAGAUAGGUAGCACGCUACCCGCUUCGUUUAUUUCAUUUAGAAAUAAGUCUAGCUGGAAAUGUGAAUCAACUAGGGUUCGAACUUGGGUCUCGGGUACCAACAGACCGUCCCUAGAGCAAGUGGCAAAGGGCUUGAUGGUUGGUAUCCGAUACUUAAGUUCGAAUCCUAGUUGAUUCAUAUUUCCAGCUAAAUUUAUUUUUAAAUAAAAUAAACGAAGCAGCUAGCGUGCUACCUAUCUCUCAAAAAUAUAUAUAUAUAUUUAAAAAAGAUAUAUAUUAAAUAUAGUAUUUGUG
rnacentral:lncRNA from 1 species